UACGUAGGUCUCAAGCGUUAUCCGGAUUUACUGGGCGUAAAGAGUCUGUAGCUGGUUGCAUAAGUCUAUUUUUUAAAAGACCUUGGCUCAACUAAGGGAAGGGAAUGGAUACUGUGCAUCUGGAGGUUAUUAGGGGGUUAGUAGAAUUCCCGGUGGAGGGGUGAAAUCCGUUGAUAUUGGGGAGGAAUGCCGAAAAGCGAAAGCAGCUAACUAUAAUUUAUCCUGACAGUGAGAGACGAAAAGCAUGGGGUAGCAAAACGGG
rnacentral:rRNA from 1 species